CAGUGGUUUCAGGUGGAAAUUCUGUUCUCCACUAGCUCCUGCUCUCCUCUGGACUUCAGUGCUCAGGAAAGCCACUGCACUCCUGUGAUCUCUACCCAAGAAAGGCUGAAUCACUGGUUCAUAGAGCUCCUGACACCCGCUGGCUGCUGAUGAAUUAGUGCUGCGCAGCUGGAGCUACUCAAGGGCUGCAGAUGCAAAUCCCAGAGCUUCUCCCACGUGUACUUGAGCACUGGAGCGCUGCAGGAUGCAUCUUGCUGGCACUGGCAGUUACAAGUGCAGCCCUUCAAACAGGAAUCAGGAGUGGGACAUGAGGUAAGGUCUCUACCAAAAAGCUGUUCCCAAAGCCAGAAGGAAAGAAGAGACCACUGCCAACCUCUGUGAAUCACCUGCUUCCAAUGGCAGCUCCACCCUGGGGAACAGCAAGCCUAGAAGAAGCACUACACCCAAUUGCCCAAAAGGGAAUUGCUGUGGAGAUGGAUGGAAUGACAUGACUAAGGUCACCCAAGGCCUGUGUCAGAGAAAGGAGCUGAACCUGGGGCUCUCCCAGCAGGACUGAGGAUUGCAGUAUAGGCUCUGGAUGUAAUUCAAGGAUUUCAUGGUUGAGAAAGGGCUCACUGCAAGUCUUGCCCUACCUCUGAAGCCAAUGAGAACAGCAGGUCAGCAGAAUACAUAUUCUAAUGUUUCCCUUCCCAGUGCAUCUGUGCAGCUUACUGGGAAGGGCAUGGCAUGCCCACAGCUGGACCAGAUGUGCAGUUGGUUCCUUCAUUUGCUUUUUUGAUUCCUGCUCUCAUGUGGGUUCAUUAUCAAUUCAGCCCUGCAAAAUUGACUUUUUACUACUCCCAGAAUGAUUUUUCCAUUUCUAGAGCAGGUCAGACUGUCAUAGUCUGUACAUGAAUUAGGGAGAUGACACAGGACUGAAGCAGGGUGGCAUGGCCACAGCACUGCCACCAGCACAACACCAACCACAGCAACUUUAAGGGUGUUUCCAAGGAGUAGUUCAGGAUGCAUGAACCAUGUUAUCAUAAAGAAACUCCUCUAGAAAAUCCAAACCAGAGCUUGGGCCAAAAGCAUAGGAGAGGAUCUUCUAUCUAACACUGUUAGGAGAAAAUCUCUUUGGCCAAAAUGUCUCUAGCUAUUUUUCUGCACUCCAGUAAGCCUGCCUGCUGUCUCCAUCCUGGAGAUGACUUCAUUUUGCUAUAUUUGUCAGCCCAAGGUUCUCUGUGCCUCAGAAACAAUUGUGCUGCUGUUGGAAAAUGUGUAUUAUCACAGUUGCCUUUUUUCCACUGCAGAGUAAUUAAUCGAUACUUCUUAUGGAGGGCAGUCAAUUCUCAUUACACUGGGCUUCCACAGAGCUGUUUGGUUGGGGUUUUAUCACAGAAGUAGAAUAUCCAGGAGACACUUUAUGCUCAGGCUGAGGUCUCUGCUUCACACUCUUGCACACUUUGGGCAGCACAGCAAAUACCACAGUGCGGGCAGCAGCCACACUUGAACUCUCUGCCAGUGUAAUGAAGUUUUUCCUUGCGGAAAAUCGCAGAUUGGUCUGGGUUGGAAAAGACGUUAA